GGCCUGCACAGGCUGAGGGGAGACGUUCUCCCAUCCCAGCCAGGAUCUCCAGCAGGCCUGGAGUCCCUGGGCUUGACGAGCUAAUGAACAAGCAGAAGAUAAUGAGCCUGCUGAUAGGAUCCUAAUCGAAUGGGAAGGAGAACCUGGAUACUGGCUGGGAAAUGCUGGCAAAGGUACAACUCACAUUCUUACAGCCAUGACUGCAAUGUAAAACAGGGGAAAAUAAAAAAUCCCUGGAAUGAGACCUGUGUCCACUGCUGCAGAAGGUGACAAAUCAGAACUCCAGCCCAGGGGCUUGCAGGGGUUGAGCUGGUCCAGUAUCUCAGCAAGGUUCUGGUGGGACACAAGCACCUGCUGCAGCAGAGCCUUGCAGAACCCAUCUUGGGAUGGGUUCUUGGAUCUUGGGCAUGGGUAGGUCCCCUCUUCCAGUGGGUUUUGUCCAGUUGGAGCUGCUUUUCUCCCACAGGCACAAAGGACAGGUGAAACCCGACUCUGCCGUGUCCCCUCCAGGCCUUUGUUCCAUUUCAAAGCCACCAGAACAAGGGUGCUGUUGUGUCUCUCCUCGCCUCCCCAUAAUCACCGGGAAAGGACAGCUGCUGCUGGGAAGACGUUAUCAGGGCCAUCGUGACAGGAUGCACAAAGGCAGGGGACAAAGCGGGACCGCGGCUCUUUCCGUCUGAGAUGUCUGAUUAGAUGCUGAAUUUGUGACUCGCAGCUACUGAGCCGAGGACUCUUUGAUGGGCGUACCUGUCUCAGGUGACACUGUGAAUUCUGCCAUUCAUACAGCACAUGGCACCUCAGGGACAGCCAGGGACUUCUGUGCUUACUGCAAACAAGUAACACAUUUUUUUGUGUGUUUAUAUCCAACAAAUGUCUAAUCUGCCUUUAUCCCGCUGGUUUUUGAUGCCAGCUGAUUCUCCCAGUCAGGAAUUCUUAAUACAAGCACUGGAGAGCAUCUGCAGAAACAAAUGUUACUCAGCUUGUAUCCUGCUUUCCUCCUCAGCUGACCUCAAAGCGGUCUCAAAAAGAAAUCAGCAUCGUUAUCUCCCUUUGACAACUGGGAAAACAGAGGUGAGAGAAAGGCCAGAAGAGGUUUCCUAAAAUCCACGUGCCACGCAGAACCAGCUCCCGCGGCAGAGCAAGAGUGUUAAUUCAGUGUUUUUCUCAUCUAGUGCUUGAUCCCUGAAAGCUCGGAGUGAUUUUAACUCUGCAGCAUUUCAGCGGCACUUGCCACUCUGCCGAUUGAGCCUGUGAUUGGCAGAGCCUUCCCAUACACGGCUGCAAAUUGCCCAGUCCCUGCUAAUUAGGCCUCUAUUCGUGAAUAGAUUUAUUUAAAUUACGCUCAUUGGCAUGGUCAAGGAGUGCAAAUGCCAUUUCAUAAUUCACUUUAGCGAUUUGUUAAGUGACCAUCAGUAUACUUUGCAGUUCAGGGGAAGAAAGUCCAGCACUAGCAGGGACAUUUCAGAAAUCAUUUCCAAAACCAGUGCAAUAUAAAAAUAUUUGCUCUGUGCAUUUUCCGCUGCCCGCAGCGUUUACUGAGAGGGCUCAUUGAAUAUUUAUACAUCCUUAGGACCUAAAGAACUGGUAAAAUGGAGAGGGCAGACGUGUAAUUUUAUGUAAUUGGCCUGACUGAAUGCAUUAAAAGCAGCAAAUUAUUGCAAGUGCUCAGUGUUGGGUGGUUUUGGCCGAUACCUGAAUGGCAGAGCCUCGGGAAUAAGGAUGGACAUCUUCAGCAGCAAUGCAGGUGUUGAUGCAGCCAACAGGUGCUCAGUGUGUGUUUAGAGAUAUUUAAUCUCAAUUUCUCCAGGUCUUUGUUCAGCUCUCACUCCAGCCUGCUUCUCCCCUGUCAAUCCCAGCGAUGUUUCAGGGGGGUUUCGUCGCUCUGAGCAGCACCACCAGUACCUGCAGCAUGGAAAAACACAACAACCCGCAGCCUUGCUGUGAAAUUAGCCUGACCCAUGGCUGGUUCCCACCUCAUCUGGGAUAAUUCUGCCUUCCUGGAGCCAGGGAAGAUGCCAAGGCCUGAGGCUGGUGCACGCAGGUGGCAGCAGCAGGAGCCUGCAGGGAGCUCAGACCCCAAAAUGCGUUGGUGGAGCAGGAAUGUCACGAAAAGGAUGCGGCACAACCCAGAGAGGAACAGGAGCCAUCACCACCAGCCCCUGCACCAAAAUCUGCUGCCCUGAGGUGCCAGGGAAGAGUGACAGCCCAAUUUCAGCUGAAAUCUGAGCCCUUCUGGAUCAUCACUAAGCAGUCAGUUUAUUUUCAGUGAAUAAUUAGCAAAUAAACUUAUCCCAGAUCUAA